UUUUACAUAUAUACAUGUAUGUAGACGUAUGUACAAAUAUAUUUUGUAUUCAUUUUUGUAAUUUGAUCAUGAAGCAAGAAUCUGAAGGGUGCAAACAAUCAAGGGUAUAACAAAAGGGUUCUGGGUUCACCAUUAAAAAAAAAAAACAGCCAAUACCAAAGAACUUCGUGCGACUAUCACAUUCACACACACUCUCAAUUUCGUGUGUAUCUGUAAGUCAUUAAUCACGUUUGACAGGUAACGAACGUUGAAGAAAAUUAGAAAAUGGGCGAAUGUAUUCAAGUUUGAGCUGCAGCGAUGUUUGUGGUCUGCUGUCGUUAUACUACCAAUCCAAUUUACCAGACAUCAAUUUGGGAACCUUUGUGAAGAGUGUAUGUGUGUGUGUGAGUGUUAGUUUUGGUGUGUGGGUGAGUGAGUCCCAGAAGCAGACAGGACCACACCUCAAACCCAAUGCGAGAGAGGGAACCCCCGACAAUAUGAAGUUACGAGCAUUGUGCGCUGCGGGACGGCAGCCAACGCACAUUGAAAUUUCUAUGCGACAGGCCGGAGUCCGGGAAUGGAUCCUGAAAUGGGAGUGGGUAUAAGAAUGGAAGCUAAGCAUGAGUUAUGUACAGCUAGGGCAGAGGAACGGCUGAUAGAGCAACUGGGGGACGCGUCCCCCCUCUUGGAAUGGUAUUUUAAUACGUCAUCGUUUAAAGUCGAAAUGGCAGAGCCCACGCAACUUAAGUUAUUGUCGACAUCUGCUCAAGUUGCUCGUCGAAAUAGAAAUUCGUAAUUCGUGUUUGUUUUUACCAAAUAGGAACAGCGAUUGCCGUGCGUUGCCUGGGAUGGGGAUUGAAGAGAGUGGACUUUUUACUGCGACAAUGUCGAUAUCGAUGUCAUUGUGUGCGGUGGGCCGUAAACGCAUCGGGAAUACUCGAGACUGCGCACUUUUCUCACUUCAAAUCGGUUGGCGCAAUUUAUAUGUGUUUUCAAUAAAAGUCGAUAUAAUGUUGCCAA